UCAGACGGCAAAACAGACAUCACUUUUGAACUUAGGAUGGUCGAAAACCUUAGGAGGAGCAUAAAAGGAAAAAUGACACUGUUCACAUGUACGGUACUGUCUACGUUACUGUUCACGACACUUUUCAUAUUGACGGAUCGAUGAUGUGGCAUUGACCGAUGAUGUGGCAUUGACUGAUGAGGUGUCAUGAUCCUGUUAGACUAAAAUUCUUAUGCACUGUUGAUCGAUGACGUGGCUGCAUAUCAGUGGACCAAAAAUCUCGCAUAUGGUACAUGCAUUAUACAGGAUUAUUUUCAACCAAGCUACGUCACUGUUCAAGCCGGGUCAAACACUGUUACUGUUCAAACCGCGUGGUCAAACCGCGUACUGUUGACUGAUGACGUGGCGCAAUCCUGAGCGUCCGAAAUGUUUUUGAUCCGAUGGCCAUGAUUUACUCAAUGUAUCUAUAAAAAUGGGGCUCUCCCCCCUAAUUUGAUAUCUCUGAAUCUAUUUUUGGACUCCAUUUUCUAUAAUUCCAUCUCCAUCUUGUAUUUUCUACAUAUUUUAAUAAAUUCUCAUUUUGCC
rnacentral:lncRNA from 1 species